rnacentral:rRNA from 1 species
UUGGACGCUGGCGGAAUGCUUUACACAUGCAAGUCGGGCGGCAGCGCGGGGGCAACCCUGGCGGCGAGCGGCGAACGGGUGAGUAACAUAUCGGAACGUACCCAGACGUGGGGGACAACUAGUCGAAAGACUAGCUAAUACCGCAUACGUCCUGAGGGAGAAAGCGGGGGAUCGCAAGACCUCGCGCGUUUGGAGCGGCCGAUAUCUGAUUAGCUAGAUGGUGGGGUAAAGGCCCACCAUGGCGACGAUCAGUAGCUGGUCUGAGAGGAUGAUCAGCCACACUGGAACUGAGACACGGUCCAGACUCCUACGGGAGGCAGCAGGGGGGAAUUUUGGACAAUGGGGGAAACCCUGAUCCAGCCAUUCCGCGUGAGUGAAGAAGGCCUUCGGGUUGUAAAGCUCUUUCGGCAGGAACGAAACGGCGGAAUCUAAUACAUUCCACUAAUGACGGUACCUGAAGAAGAAGCACCGGCUAACUACGU